rnacentral:lncRNA from 1 species
CUUACAGUGCCUGCCCAGGGGCACACCAGACGUCGGUGGCAUCUGAACAGCUCCCUGCCGACCCCUGCCCCUGCUACCUCCUAACUCUCUCUCUCUAACUCUCCAGUCUCUCCUCCAGAUCACUGGAGCUUGGUGCUGGGUGGUCCGUUCACACUCACUGAAAACCCACCCCCACCAGGCCCCAGAGAGCAUCUGACUGUGUCUCCUUGGAGCCUGUGACACACCCUCUGCACACGUGGUGUGAGUUUUCUCUGGUUUAUAACUGACGUUCAGAGAGGUGAGGUAGCUCACCUAAGGUCACACAGGCAGGAAGUGGUGGGAACUUGACGCUGACCCAGGCCAUCUGGACCCUGUGACCCACCUGGAGGCAGACAAUUCAGAAUGCUCAGGAAGCAGCUCUGGGGAGUCUGGUGACCCCAGGAGCCCCUAGCAGAGGUGGCUUUGGGCAAAUCUACAUAGGAAAAUGAGUCUUCCCUCAACAGGUAAAUCAGGGAAUGACAUUUGACUUACAAAAGAAUUCACCCAAUGAGCUCUCCUUGAAGAUGGAAAUCGGAUUUUCUUUAGUCCUCUGGCUCUUUCUGAGCUGAGAGUCUGCUCUUGCUCACUGCCUUCAGGGCCGGCUAUUCUAAAGCUCUGAGCAAGGAGAGCCCCAGAGCCAAACUCAGGCCACUGCCCUUUUUCCCAAUGCUAGUGAGAAUCACUAACAGGAUACCCUCUCUCCACAGAAUCCCAGGUGUUCUGCACAGCGUUGUCAACUACCAGCACUUGUUACACAGAUUUCUAGAACUCUCCCAUCUUGCACAACUGAAUCUUGACCCCAUUGAAGAAUGACUCCCCAUUUCCCCUCCCCCCAAGCCUUGGCAACCACCCUCUACCGUCCGUUUUCACGAGUUUGGCUAUUUGAGAAACCUCUGAGAAGCAGCAUCCUGCGUAUUUGCCCUUCUGUGCCUGGCUUAUCCCACUUAGCCUUGUUUCCUCCAAGUUCAAGCCUGCUGACGCCCGUGACAGGAUUCCUCCUUCAAGGCCGCCUGGUACUCCACCGUGGGAAGACCACCCUUAUUCGUUUGUCUGCUAAUGGACAUUUGGGGAGAUUCCGUAUCUUGGCUCUUGUAAAUAAUGCUGCAAUGAAAAGUGUGGAAGCUUGGAUAUCUUUUCUGAUUUCAGGUUUAGGGGGUUUAUUCCCAGAUCUGAGGUUGCUGGACCAGGUAGGGGAAAAGUCCAUAUUUUCCAUCACGGCUACAUCCUCACAUUUCCACCAACAGUGCACAAAAUCCCCCUUUUCUCUGCAACCACACUAACACCUUCCUUUUAAUAGUAGUUGACAGAUAAACAUGCUCUCUCGUUGUGGUUUUAAUCUGCAUUUGCUCAAUGGUUAGUUAUGUGGAAUACCUUUUCGCAUACCUGUUAGUUAUUUGUAUGUUUUCCUUGGACAAACGUCAAUUCAGGUCCUUCACCUUUUUUUUUGGGGGGGGGGGGCGGAGGGUGAUUUAUUUUACUAUCGAGUUGCAGGCAUUCCUUGUAGAUUUUGGACACUGACCCUUUAUUAGACGUACGACUUGCAAACAUCUUCUCCCAUUCUGGAGGUGGUACUUUUCAUUCUGUGGAUGAUUUUCUUCGUGGGGCUGUUUUUGUAAAUAAAG